GUGUCUAAGCACUCCGAGAGUUCUGUCAUGUACUUGUAACACACCUGAGAGGAGGGUAUUAUUCCCAUGUUUCAGAAGAUAAAACUGAGGCUCAGAGAGGUGAGAUAACUUGUACCAGUUCAUAUCAUCAGUGAGUGGCUGGACUAGGAUGGAAACUGAGGGCUUCACCACCCAGACAAGAGGGCAGGGGCCAGCCUGUGGAAAGGUAUGGAGGAAUGCAAGCUCGGCCCACGGAGGAGCUGUGAGCAGCGUCAUCCUGCUGCAGUGGAAAGAAGCAACUCGCAGAAAGGGGCUCUACAGGGGCCUGGACGUCAGCAGAUGAUCGCAGAGGAGGCUGAAUGGAGAGCUGGGCCAGGUCUCAUCAGCAGAGGAGCUGCAUUUGGGAGAUGCCUUCCUCGUUAGGCAAUACUGUGGUUGGUUCUGGACAUUGUUCUUGGACACUCAGCUACCUCCUGUUUCUCAAGACACCCAACAACUCAAGGAGCUACUUAACAGUCUUUAUUAAAUUC
rnacentral:antisense_RNA from 1 species